GUUAAACAGGGAUUUGAUAACGUUUUUAAUUUAAGGACCAACCACAAUUGGUCUGGCCCAUCCACAAUUGGAAUCCUGGCGCCAUUCCUGAACCAUUACAAUAUUUCGCAUACUCAAGACCGGGCAUCAUGUAACCCAAUCCCAAAUGUGUUUAAUAGGAUUGUCUGUCGCUUCAAUCUUGGAGAACUAGCCUACUUCAAGCUAAAUUUCGGAGGAAAAAGCUACAAGACCACAGCUGUCCAUCGUACUGCAAGCUAAAGCUGCGGCUGUGGCUUGUAGGACAUGGACAUCCAACGACCAAGUGCUGUCACGUGAUUCCACUUGCCACCCCCACUGACGUCACUGGCUAAUCGCGCGGGAGAGCUUCAUUCUCUUCUCGACUACUUCACCAAGAUGACAACGAUGGCAAGUAACUAAAAUUAAUGACUGAAACAACCUAAUUGUGAUUGCAAAAACAUGC
rnacentral:lncRNA from 1 species